GCCAAUUGCGAGCGUCGGGAAGCCGCUUCUGCAACAGAGCGCUAAAAAAAAGUGCAGCUUUAGCUUUUCUCGCCUCUCGGGAGCGAGCCGGCGGAGUCCCGCCCCCGCGCGCUGACAGACGGGGGCGCCCGACCAAUAGCGGCCCGUCCGUAAAAUAUUCAGGCAGCUGCGGCUCACAAACGCAGGGGACCGCCGGCGAGAGGGGGGCGAGGCGGGAGCGGACUGCCGGCCUUUCGGGCUAGAUGGCCCCGGACUGGCGUGCGUAAUGGCCUAUUCCAGCCUACGAUCCCUAAUCGGGGCUAAAUGCAGCAGCCGGUCCCGGGAGGAUUCGCACGCCUUGCUGAGCCUGCAGUCUGCGUAUCCCGGCAUUCCGGCUUCCUGCCCAUGUCCACUGUCCGGUAAAGAAGCAGCAUUCACUGCGUCUCUGCAGGAAGUUGCCAGGACUUUGAAGAUGAAGUGGAUGAGAAAAUGUGAUGGAUAGCCACUCUCGAAACAGACAGAGGGGCGCCAUGUCAGCGAGGGACGAGAGAGGGAGGCGGGCAGCUCAUGGAGGUGUGAGGAAGAACCGCGAAGAGGAUGCAAUGUCUCACCUAUCACCCGGCUCAUUCGACACGGAUGUGACAGCACACCUGGGGGCAAACAGGCUUUUUUUUGGGAGGGGGGGUGACAUAGUGUUCCUGAUCUCUACCCCACGACUUCCCCCGGCCCGGGGGGUGGGGCUACCUUGCUCGUCUGUCUUCAGCAUUUCGUUCAGGGAUCCUUCUGGCUCCGGCCCCAAAUUACGUGAUAGGCUCAGAUACGACAGCUUGACGUUUAAGGUCCUCACGCCUUUGUGGGGGGGUCGGCGGUCAGUGUGUGCAGCAUUCAGAUGGGUCUGCAUUACAGCAGCAGCAUUGGGGAAGCGGAUUGUAUGGGAUUACUGCCUUGAGACAAUAGCAGUCCAUAGGAAAAAAAAACACAAAUACAAAUUUAAUUCGACCAUUAUGCUCUUGCUGGUCUGCUGCGAGCUCGGCACAGCUCGACCUGAAUUAAAAGUAAUGCACAGAAAGUAGAUUUGGGGGAGGGAAAUUUUCAUACUGCCACUGGGGUUUUUGUGUCUUCAUUUGUCGUGCUGCAGGUGUGGAUUUUGGAUGGAUGGAGCCCAGAACUUUAGCUUUUGGGUUUUUAUCGAUACGCAUCUUUUUCCCCUGCAAUAUAGCGUGUGGCUUGUGACUUGGCCGCUCCCUGUGUUUAUUAACAUCGCUGGUUCAAAUCCCUUCCUCAGCUGAAUAGUCACAUGUCUGUUGGGGUGGGGUGGGCCUGGGUAAGUGGCCUGUCUCUCCGCAGAUCCCAAGCCUGUGUGCCAAAGGAGAGAAGACGGGAUAUUUGAAGAAAAGAGGCAUUACGAUGUACUUGUACAAAUACGGCAUCGUUUAUUUGUUUUGUUUUGUUCUUUGUUUUCGUUUGUUUUGUUUUUCUGUCUCCUACCAGCGUAGCUCUAGCUGACAACCGCUGCACCUCAGGCUCAUCCUGAUACGCGAACGACCAUCAUCCCAGUACCUUUUACGGCUGAUUCCUCUCACCGCGCAGACAGCGGUAAACGCAAAUAAGUACGCUGUGGCUGCCCCGAUGCGGAGAUGACGGCGUGACAUUUUCGGCUGCAUGUCCCCGCUCUUCUUUCAUGUCGCUGCCGCACAUUACUGUAAGUGCAGUACUUUGAAAUAUGCCAGCUAACGCUUAAUGUGUUAAAUUGCAUGCGAAAGGGCUUUCUGCAGUGUCAGCUACUUUGAGCUCAACCUCCGCUUUCUGCCUUGUUUCCCCUGAUCGCCUUUUGAUGUGGUUUGUUCAUUGAGCAGGUGUGGCCAUUAUAGUUAAACACCUGAUAUUUAAAACGUGGGGCAUCGGCUGGUCUAUUUAUGCAGAUUUAUUCAUUGCAGAUAAGCCAGGGUGAAUGCAGGGGUGGAGUUACAAAAGCACUGGCCUUAGCUGAAAGCUGAUUGGCCCCUGACGUGUCCCUGCCCCAUCACUCACUGAUUCAGAUCGUUUAAUUGGUUCAUGAUAGGUUUGGCACUUCUGUAUAAAUUACGGCCCCGCUUAUGUCACGCACUUUAACACCAGCUGCGCCAGCCCAGCAGGUGGCGCUGUGCUGAAAUGUCUUAUGAGAGGCCCUGAUCUGGUACUUAUUCAGGAAAUAUCCAGUAGAGUGCAUAGGUUUAGGGUGAAACUGCCUGCUUUGUAAGGAAGCGAUAAGGUAUGAAACCUGGACGCAAAAUGUGGUGGGCUCGAGUCCGAGGAGUGACUGUAUAUAAAUCACUGAUUGCAUUUUGUAAGGGAUGAGGGGUGGCCUGCAGACCCCUUGGGGGGGGGGUCAGGUGACCCCCAUUAUUUGUGUUGGUCCGCUCUGCCUGUCUCGCUGUGCUUUGUUCCGUGCCUAGUUACCCAGUCUCCAGGCUUAAAAAGUCCAGUGCUGUUUGCUGGCCUGUCUUGUCUCCCACUAACACAGCCAGGCUUGUUUUUCUCUCUGCUGCCUAAUCAGGCCCUUCUGAUUCACUUCUGGCUUUGUGUCAGCCCUGCCCUGUCCCUGUAUAACCAUCAUUCCCUGUCUAACGUCUGUUUCAUUUUCAAAUAUACACUAUGGCACAAGCAUAUGGUACAAUAAAUGUACUUGCCAUGUGUAAAAUAUGUUGUAUUUUGGGUUUGAAAGAUGUAGAGCUGCACAAAAUACCCCGUUUCUGUAAAGCUACGAUGGACAAAGACCCCCUGGUGAGUGAAAUGUUAUUAAGCCUGUAUGGGCUGGAUGUGGAAAGUCUAAGACACGUUAAUAAAACAUUCUUUCUUCCAUCCAUCUACCCAUUAAUCUAUCCAUCCAUUCAUCAAUCCAUUUGUUCAUUCAGUAAAUUAGCUACACUAUAUAUAUAGGUAUGUUGCAUGUAGAAUAGAAUAGAAUAGAAUAGAAUAGAAUAGAAUAGAAUAGAAUAGAAUAGAAAUAGAAUAGAAUAGAAUAGAAUACCUUUAUUCUCAUUGAGCUCUAUACAACAGGAUUUCUGUGUCUGUAUAAGUCACGUUCCAGGGUCCGUAAGCACUGUGUAAUGCGGAGUCGUUAAUCUCCCCCCACCCCUGCCCUGCACCGUGACCCACCAAUGGGUGCUGACACAUGCAGGUCGUUGCCGCUCCAUGACGGAGAACUAAUGCGGGACGGCCGGUCACACCGGAGAUCCGCCAUGAAGCGUCCUCCUCCUUCGGUCUUGGUGAUGAAGCGCUUCACCCCUGAGGAAUCCCAGACCAAACCAUGUAGCCUCUUCGCUCCAGCGGACCUGGAAAUGUCGAUGGCGAAGGAAAAUGCUGCAAGUUAAGGCACUGUGAUUAUGAGCAGAAGGUCGUCAUUUCCCGUCCCUGGUCUGGCAGAGAAUUCUGAUGGCUGGGUUCCUGAGAUUUAGAUGUGGAUGGGGAGUCGGUCUCCGUCGACGCUGGUGGCAAGAAAAGGUUACCCAGCGGAUGGCAAUUAUGUUUUGCAUACAAUAGCAACAACACAAAUCACGAAAUCAGAACGACGUGCAAGGAGCGAAGCGUCACGAUGCAUACAGGGACCCAAACACGUCGUUAACGCUGACGGAGCAGCAGCGUGAAGGAGAAAUUCUGCAUGCUUGAUUGUUAUAUUAAAAAAAGUGCAAGAAGUUUGUGUAAGAAGUUACUGGCUCUGAUUGGUCACUGUGGCUGUAGGUGCUUCCAUGACUUUUCUUGUGAACUCUGGGAAGUUCUGUGCAGUUUUUUUUUUGGCUUGGUUCCACUUCACUGGACUGCCAUUUCCUACGGCCUCUUGCCAGCUCCCGUGCUGCACUCCGUCAGUGUCCAGGCAGUCAAAGAAGUAAGAAUAAUGCAGCAUUAAGUUGUGGGUCUGGGGGAGUAGACCUGGCAUUUUGUCUCAUCCACUGGGGUCACUUCUGGUUCAAAUCCCACACCUAUGAAAUCCAAAUUUCCUUGCAAACACUGGCAGGGAAAACUGUGAUUUGAAAAUAAAAAUCCAUACUUCUAAAUUUUGUAUUGCAUACGCACGGAGCCAUUGGUGUGUGUAAGACAGUCAGUACCGAUGCGAUUUGGUUGUGUGCCGUGCAUGAAGAUAUUUGCAGUAAAAUUGAGUUUACGUAAACAAAAAACUGCAGACUGAACUGAUUUGUAACAGUAUAGUAUGAUCGCCUCUUGGCGCUAACAGGGGAAUGUG